UACGGAGGAUGCAAGCGUUAUCCGGAAUGAUUGGGCGUAAAGCGUCCGCAGGUGGCUGUGUAAGUCUGCUGUCAAAGAGCAAAGCUCAACUUUGUAAAGGCAGUGGAAACUACACGGCUAGAGUGCGUUCGGGGCAGAGGGAAUUCCUGGUGUAGCGGUGAAAUGCGUAGAUAUCAGGAGGAACACCGGUGGCGAAAGCGCUCAUCUGGCCCGAUACUGACGCUGAUGCGCGAAAGCUAGGGGAGCGAACGGG
rnacentral:rRNA from 1 species